CCUACGGGAGGCAGCAGUGGGGAAUCUUGGACAAUGGGGGCAACCCUGAUCCAGCGACGCCGCGUGGGUGAUGAAGGUCUUCGGAUUGUAAACCCCUUUCGGCGGGGAAGAUGGAACGGGUAACCGUUCGGACGGUACCUGCAGAAGCAGCCACGGCUAACUUCGUGCCAGCAGCCGCGGUAAU
rnacentral:rRNA from 1 species